UACGUAGGGUGCGAGCGUUGUCCGGAAUUACUGGGCGUAAAGGGCUCGUAGGCGGCCAACUAAGUCGGACGUGAAAUCCCUCGGCUUAACCGGGGAACUGCGUCCGAUACUGGAUGGCUUGAGUUUGGGAGAGGGAUGCGGAAUUCCAGGUGUAGCGGUGAAAUGCGUAGAUAUCAGGAGGAACACCGGUGGCGAAGGCGGGACUCUGGGCCGAUACUGACGCUGAGGAGCGAAAGCGUGGGGAGCAAACAGG
rnacentral:rRNA from 1 species